rnacentral:rRNA from 1 species
AGAGUUUGAUCCUGGCUCAGGAUGAACGCUGGCGGCGUGCUUAACACAUGCAAGUCGAACGGGAAUUACUUUAUUGAAACUUCGGUCGAUUUAAUUUAAUUCUAGUGGCGGACGGGUGAGUAACGCGUGGGUAACCUGCCUUAUACAGGGGGAUAACAGUCAGAAAUGGCUGCUAAUACCGCAUAAGCGCACAGAGCUGCAUGGCUCAGUGUGAAAAACUCCGGUGGUAUAAGAUGGACCCGCGUUGGAUUAGCUUGUUGGCAGGGUAACGGCCUACCAAGGCGACGAUCCAUAGCCGGCCUGAGAGGGUGAACGGCCACAUUGGGACUGAGACACGGCCUAGACUCCUACGGGAGGCAGCAGUGGGGAAUAUUGCACAAUGGGGGAAACCCUGAUGCAGCGACGCCGCGUGAAGGAAGAAGUAUCUCGGUAUGUAAACUUCUAUCAGCAGGGAAGAUAGUGACGGUACCUGACUAAGAAGCCCCGGCUAACUACGUGCCAGCAGCCGCGGUAAUACGUAUGGAGCAAGCGUUAUCCGGAUUUACUGGGUGUAAAGGGUGCGUAGGUGGCAGUGCAAGUCAGAUGUGAAAGGCCGGGGCUCAACCCCGGAGCUGCAUUUGAAACUGCGCGGCUAGAGUACAGGAGAGGCAGGCGGAAUUCCUAGUGUAGCGGUGAAAUGCGUAGAUAUUAGGAGGAACACCAGUGGCGAAGGCGGCCUGCUGGACUGUUACUGACACUGAGGCACGAAAGCGUGGGGAGCAAACAGGAUUAGAUACCCUGGUAGUCCACGCCGUAAACGAUG